AAGAGCACGUGCCAACAUACAGGGUCACACACAGACAAAAGUAAAACAACACAUACACACACGUAUACCUGUCCUCUCUCUCUCUCACACACACACACGCCUACCUGUCCCCACACACACACACACGCCUACCUGUCCACACCACACACCACCACCUACGUACACCUGUCCACACCACAACACAACACGUACACCGUCCACACAACACACCCACGCACACCUGUCCAACACACACUACACACCUGUCCCCACACACACACACCUGUCCACACACACACACACACCUGCCUCACACACACACCACACACCCACCACACACACACACAAACACCAACACACACACACACACCACCACACACCUGUCCUCACACACACACCUGUCCCACACACACACACACACACCACACACUGUCCUCACACACACACACACACACAGACCUGUCCAACACACUAACACCUGUCCUCACACACACACACACACACACACACACACACACACACACACACACACCACCACUCCUCCUCCACCACACACACACACACACCCUGUCCUCACACACACACACACACACACACACACACACACACACACCACCUGUCCUCACACACACACACACAGACACCUGCUCACAACACACACCACACACCUGUCCUCUCCACACACACACACACACCACCACACCACACACACACACACACACACACACAACACUACCUGUCCUUCACACACACAGACACAUACCACACACACCUGUCCUCUCACACACACCGUCUCACAACACACACACACACACAAAACCUGCUCUCUCCACACACACACACACACACCACACACACACAACAACACACACACACACACACACACACACACCUGUCCUCUCACACCACACAGACACAUACACAUACACCUGUCCUCUCACACCACACCCGUCCUCACAAAAACACACACACACACUCACCACACACACCUUUCCUCUCUCUCACACACACACACACACACCACACACACCUGUCCACACCACACACACACACACACACACACACACAGACCUGUCCUCUCAUACACCUGUACUCUCACACAUACACACACUUGUCCUCUCACACACAUAUACACACACACACACACCCCUGUCCACUCUCACACACACACACCCGUCCUCACACCACACACACAAAAACCUGUCCUCUCUCACACACACACCACACCACACACACACACACACACACACCUACAUACACCUGUCCUCUCUCUCACACCACACACACACACACACACAUACACACACACCUGUUCUCUCCCUCACACACACACACACACACACACACACACACACACCUACCUGUCCUCUCACUCACACACACCCACACACACCACACACCACACACCACACACCACACCCACACACACACCUGUCCUCUCCCUCACACACACACACACACACACACACACACACACACACACACACACACACACACACACCCUGUCCUCUCAUACUCCACUUGAGUAACAUUUGA
rnacentral:lncRNA from 1 species